rnacentral:snoRNA from 1 species
UUGAGAGCCUUUCAUCGAAGACGUUUAACAACCUUUUAUUUGUUAAUCGUUCAAAAUAAGGCAUAAAGAAAUGACUCUCAAUAAGGUCUCUCGUUGUGUACUUUGUCAAUUAUCUUUGGGAAUUACCCAUUUGAGAUACAAUG